GUAGGACGCAAGCGUUAUCCGGAGUUACUGGGCGUAAAGCGCGGGCAGGCGGCUGUCUAAGUCUGAUGUGAAAGCGCCCGGCUUAACCGGGCGAGGCCAUUGGAAACUGGAGAGCUGGAGGGCAGUAGAGGCAGGCGGAAUUCCGGGUGGAGUGGUGAAAUGCGUAGAGAUCCGGAGGAACACCAGAGGCGAAGGCGGCCUGCUGGGCUGCACCUGACGCUGAGCCGCGAAAGCCAGGGGAGCGAACGGGAUUAGAAACCCCGGUAGUCCUGGCCGUAAACGAUGUGUGCUGGAUGAUGGCGCGAACGCGUCGUUGUCGAAGCUAACGCGAUAAGCACACCGCCUGGGGAGUACGGUCGCAAGGCUA
rnacentral:rRNA from 1 species